UACGAAGGACCCGAGCGUUAUCCGGAUUUAUUGGGUUUAAAGGGUGCGUAGGCGUCCUGGAAAGUUACGGUUGAAAUCUCCUUGCUCAACAAGGAAACUGGCCGUAAAACUAUCAGGAUUGAGUACAUUUGAAGCGGGCGGAAUGUGUCAUGUAGCGGUGAAAUGCUUAGAUAUGACACAGAACACCAAUUGCGAAGGCAGCUCGCUAAACUGUAACUGACGCUGAGGAGCGAAAGCGUGGGGAGCGAACAGG
rnacentral:rRNA from 1 species